AUGAACCCCGUCCGUCAGCAACUGUUUACAGCUCCUCUGAUCAGAAAGGAGCGUAAACAGAUCACAAUAAAAGAUCCCACACAGGGAGGACGGGACAUCACCAAAGAGAUCAUGACCGGAAGAUGGACCACAUCUCAGAUUAUAAUAAAAGACCCCACACUGGGAGGACGGGACAUCACCAAAGCGAUCAUGUCUGAAAGAUUGAC